rnacentral:lncRNA from 1 species
UGUGAGUUCACCUGUGCCAACAUCAAUAAUUGUUUUAGCAGUUGCUAAAAAGGGCCUUCCCAGAAUUAAAGGAGUGUUCCUAUCCUCUUCUAUAUCUAGAACAAUAAAGUCAACGGGAAAUAUAAAUUUAUCGACUUUUACAAGUACAUCUUCAAUAAUACCCCUAGGGAAUCUUAUAGUUUUAUCUACUAAUUGAAUGCUCAUUCUAGUCUGUUUGGGUUUCCCGAGACCUAAUUGCUUAAACAUUUUGUAGGACAUGACGUUAAUACUAG